CUUUACAGUUCCUAAAUAUGUUGUGUCCCGAGUUUGUUCCUUCUGAUGUUCAGAGUUGUCCAGAGCUUCUUCCUUCUGGUGGGUUCCUGGUCUAGUUGACUUCAGGAGUGAAGCUGCAGACCUUCCCAGGGAGUGUUACAGCUCUUAAAGGUUGCACAGACCCAAAGAGUAAGGAGUAGCACAAUUUAUUAAAAAGAGCAAAAGAGUCCGAGUGGGGUGGAUCAUGAGGUCAAGACCAUUCUGGCUAACGCAGUAAAAUCCCGUCUCUACUAAAAAAUACCAAAAAAACAAACAAAAAACUACCAGCUAUUUGGGAGGCUGAGGUAGGAGAAUGGCCAGUAAACCCAAGAGACAGAGUUUGCAGUGAGCCGAGAUCCGGCCACUGCACUCCAGCCUGUGGAGUUUGUAGUGAGCUGAGAUCCGGCCCCUGCACUCCAGCCAGUGCGAUACAGUGAGACUCCUUUCCAAAGAAAACAAAAAAAAAAAAAGCAAAAGUACAACUCCUCCACCGCCUGGAAGGGGACCUGAGCAGGUUGCCCCUGCUGGCUUGGGUGGCCUGCUUUUAUUCCCUUAUCUGGCCUCACCCACAUUUUGCUGAUUGGUCCAUUUCACAAAGAACUGAUUGGUCCGUUUUACAGAAUGCUGAUUGGUCUGUUUUGACAGAGUGCUGGUUGGUGCAUUUACAAACCUUUAGCUAGACACAGAGCGCUGAUUGGUGCAUUUACAAUCCUUUAGCUAGACAGAAAAGUUCUCCAAGUGCGCAGGGACCCAGAAGCACAGCAAGCUUCACCUCUCACUGGCACUCACCAAGAGUUUCCCGGCACCUAGCAGGGGGCUCCUGCAGCGCAGAGGGAGCUUGUCCUAGACAAUCAAGAGGAAAAGAGGGGAAGUGAGAAAGAGAGGGAGACCUGCUAUGGUGGCCAAUGAUCCUGUGAAGAGGGAACGGUGGUCCACUCACGGGAUUCAGCCUCCGAUCAAGCCCAGCAGGCACCUGCGGCGCCCAGUGCGGGGCUUGCCCAGGCCGCGCUCACCUGGAACCGGUGACAGCCUGCGAGCGCCCCGCGGGCGCCUCUCUCUUCAUACCUCCCCGCCAGCAGAGGGAGCCGGCUCUGGCCUUGGCGAGGCCCAGAGAGGGGCCUUCGUGGCGCAGCAGCAGGCUGAAGGGCUCCCGGAGCGCGGCCAGAGCAGACACCCAGACCGAGGAGGCGCCGAGAGCCAGCGAGGGCUGCUAGCAGGUUGUAACUUCUCAAAGCCAUCAAUAUGGAACUGUGAUAUCUUGCUCAUAUCAUCCAACAAAGGAAAACAAGAAGAGUUAACUCUCCGAAUGCUUAUGGAUUGCUGAGAUUGUUUUCUAAGUGCUUUAACAGAAGAAGUUAUCUAAGCUUCUCAACCAUACUAUUAGGUAAGUACUACCAUAAUCUCAUUUUAUAGAUGAGGAAACUAGGGCAAAGUGAGGUUAAGUAACUUGCCUGAAGUCCCCUGGUUAGUGGGGCAGAGAAGCCAAGAAUCAAGCCCUGGAUUCAUAACUCCUCUGCGCUGCUGAUCUUGGAGAGUGGACAGCCAAUGAGAGAGACCCAGGCAUGAUGUCAGAGUCUCAUUUUUCAUAACGAUAUUGGCUCUUAUUUUGUAUUUAUAAUGUAUCUUCUCAACCUCUGUGGUUGAACAAUUUUUAUUUUUCCAUUUUUGUUUUAGACUUUAUUAAAAUACAAAAUUUUUAAAUAUUUAUGAGCUUUAG
rnacentral:lncRNA from 1 species